GUGUGAGCCACCGUGUGGCCGUCAAUAAAUAUUCUUAUGCCACAUGAUUUUCAUGGGUACAUAGAAUUCUCUCAAACAGAAAAUGGCAUACAUUUCUUAACCAGUGCCUUAGUGUUCUACACGUAGUAACCAGUGCUUCUUGCAGAGGCUACCUGCGAUUAUAGAAAAUUUUAUGAGUACGCCUCCACAGUGAGUCUUACCAUAUAUGGCUUUGUAGGAUCCCUGCAUGUUAUUGGAAGACAUCUGAGAUCAAGAGUUAUUCUAUGUAUUAAAAUAAUUAAGAUUUUCUUCUCUGUAGAUUUUCCCAAUUCCCCUUUUUGACAUUCGUCAUAGUAACUAAUAUUUAUAUCACAUUUUAAUGUAACCUCUGUCAGUUCUUGGAAUAACAUUUGUGCAGCAAUUAAUUUUCCUAAAAGACACAAUGCAGACUGCAAAACAAUUUUAUUACAAUGUCACUGAUGUGAGUCAUUCAUUUGGGAGAUACUUAUUGAGUGCCUGAAAUAAAACCAUCUAGGCUGGCAAUAUUCUACACUGAGUUUCCAUAAUGUGCCCCGCCAGAAAACACUAAAUCUUAAAAGGUUUGAGAAGAUAGAAAUAAAAGGGGAGAGCUUUCAUAACGGCUAGGGAAGAGUAAGCUGAGCUCACAAGAUGUGUAAGAGUGGGAGGUAAAGUCUGAAAGAUAGAUCAUUGCUGGGUGGAAGAGGCCCUUGAAUGCCUCAGUCUAUCUUUUAGUCUAUCGUAGCCUGGGCUCCACCCUGAAUCGUGAGAGGAGGGUUUGGAGCAGUAGAGUGACAUGGUGGCCUGACACACUGAUGUGGCAAAAGUCAGUUCAUAGUCUUCAUGUCUCUUAAAACCUCUGUAGUAAGACUUUGAAUUUAUGUUGGAAAAUUGUUUACCCAUCAUUUCUUUCCUCUUGCUCAUUGACUGGGAUUCACAUACAGAAACUAGCCUAGUAGUAAAACAGUUAUGAAUUCAUAUGUAGGCUGGGCACAGUGGCUUGUACCUAUAAUUCCAGCAGUUUGUGAGGCCAAGGUGAGAGGAUCACAUGAGCCCAGGAGUUCAGAACCAGCCUGGGCAACACAGCAAGACUCUGGUUCUAAAAAAAAAAUAUUAGCCU
rnacentral:lncRNA from 1 species